UGGAGAGUAGCUCAGCUGGUUAGAGCGAUCGGUCGAUAACCGAUAGGUCCCUGGUUCGAUCCCAGGCUUUCCAACCA
rnacentral:tRNA from 1 species